rnacentral:rRNA from 1 species
GCGAAAGACAGGUGAGAAUCCUGUCCACCGAAUGACUAAGGUUUCCUGGGGAAGGCUCGUCCUCCCAGGGUUAGUCGGGACCUAAGCUGAGGCCGAGAGGCGUAGGCGAUGGACAACGGGUUGAUAUUCCCGUACCGGUCUGAUUUGUUUGAGCAACGGAGGGACGCAGGAGGCUAACGAUGCGCACUAUCGGAUGUGCGUCCAAACAGCAAGUCUGUCGGCGAGUCAAAUGCUUGCCGGCUCAAGGGCAAGCUGUGACGGGUAUGAACGAUUUAUCGUUCUAAGUGAGCGACGUCACACUGCCAAGAAAAGCUUCUAGUUAGAAUCAGACCGCCCGUACCGCAAACCGACACAGGUAGUCGGGUCGAGAAGACCAAGGUGAGCGAGAGAACUCUCGUUAAGGAACUCGGCAAAAUGACCCCGUAACUUCGGGAGAAGGGGUGC